rnacentral:rRNA from 1 species
GGGUUGUGAGGUUAAGCGACUAAGCGUACACGGUGGAUGCCCUGGCAGUCAGAGGCGAUGAAGGACGUGCUAAUCUGCGAAAAGCGUCGGUAAGGUGAUAUGAACCGUUAUAACCGGCGAUGUCCGAAUGGGGAAACCCAGUGCAAUUCGUUGCACUAUCGUUAACUGAAUACAUAGGUUAACGAGGCGAACCGGGGGAACUGAAACAUCUAAGUACCCCGAGGAAAAGAAAUCAACCGAGAUUCCCCCAGUAGCGGCGAGCGAACGGGGAGCAGCCCAGAGUCUGAAUCAGCUUGUGUGUUAGUGGAACGGUCUGGAAAGUCCGACGGUACAGGGUGAUAGUCCCGUACACCAAAAUGCACAGGUUGUGAACUCGAAGAGUAGGGCGGGACACGUGGUAUCCUGUCUGAAUAUGGGGGGACCAUCCUCCAAGGCUAAAUACUCCUGACUGACCGAUAGUGAACCAGUACCGUGAGGGAAAGGCGAAAAGAACCCCGGCGAGGGGAGUGAAAAAGAACCUGAAACCGUGUACGUACAAGCAGUGGGAGCACCUUCGGGUGUGACUGCGUACCUUUUGUAUAAUGGGUCAGCGACUUAUAUUCUGUAGCAAGGUUAACCGUAUAGGGGAGCCGCAGGGAAACCGAGUCUUAACUGGGCGUUAAGUUGCAGGGUAUAGACCCGAAACCCGGUGAUCUAGCCAUGGGCAGGUUGAAGGUUGGGUAACACUAACUGGAGGACCGAACCGACUAAUGUUGAAAAAUUAGCGGAUGACUUGUGGCUGGGGGUGAAAGGCCAAUCAAACCGGGAGAUAGCUGGUUCUCCCCGAAAGCUAUUUAGGUAGCGCCUCGUGAAYUCAUCUUCGGGGGUAGAGCACUGUUUCGGCUAGGGGGUCAUCCCGACUUACCAACCCGAUGCAAACUACGAAUACCGAAGAAUGUUAUCACGGGAGACACACGGCGGGUGCUAACGUCCGUCGUGAAGAGGGAAACAACCCAGACCGCCAGCUAAGGUCCCAAAGUCAUGGUUAAGUGGGAAACGAUGUGGGAAGGCACAGACAGCCAGGAUGUUGGCUUAGAAGCAGCCAUCAUUUAAAGAAAGCGUAAUAGCUCACUGGUCGAGUCGGCCUGCGCGGAAGAUGUAACGGGGCUAAACCAUGCACCGAAGCUGCGGCAGCGACACUUCCAGGCAAAUCCGGAUAAUCAAGGCUGAGGUGUGAUGACGAGGCACUACGGUGCUGAAGUAACAAAUGCCCUGCUUCCAGGAAAAGCCUCUAAGCAUCAGGUAACAUCAAAUCGUACCCCAAACCGACACAGGUGGUCAGGUAGAGAAUACCAAGGCGCUUGAGAGAACUCGGGUGAAGGAACUAGGCAAAAUGGUGCCGUAACUUCGGGAGAAGGCACGCUGGUGUGUAGGUGAAGYCCCUGCGGRUGGAGCUGAGACCAGUCGAAGAUACCAGCUGGCUGCAACUGUUUAUUAAAAACACAGCACUGUGCAAACACGAAAGUGGACGUAUACGGUGUGACGCCUGCCCGGUGCCGGAAGGUUAAUUGAUGGGGUUAUCCGUAAGGAGAAGCUCUUGAUCGAAGCCCCGGUAAACGGCGGCCGUAACUAUAACGGUCCUAAGGUAGCGAAAUUCCUUGUCGGGUAAGUUCCGACCUGCACGAAUGGCGUAAUGAUGGCCAGGCUGUCUCCACCCGAGACUCAGUGAAAUUGAACUCGCUGUGAAGAUGCAGUGUACCCGCGGCAAGACGGAAAGACCCCGUGAACCUUUACUAUAGCUUGACACUGAACAUUGAGCCUUGAUGUGUAGGAUAGGUGGGAGGCUUUGAAGCGUGGACGCCAGUCUGCGUGGAGCCAACCUUGAAAUACCACCCUUUAAUGUUUGAUGUUCUAACGUUGGCCCCUGACCGGGGUUGCGGACAGUGUCUGGUGGGUAGUUUGACUGGGGCGGUCUCCUCCCAAAGCGUAACGGAGGAGCACGAAGGUUAGCUAAUCCUGGUCGGACAUCAGGAGGUUAGUGCAAUGGCAUAAGCUAGCUUGACUGCGAGCGUGACGGCGCGAGCAGGUGCGAAAGCAGGUCAUAGUGAUCCGGUGGUUCUGAAUGGAAGGGCCAUCGCUCAACGGAUAAAAGGUACUCCGGGGAUAACAGGCUGAUACCGCCCAAGAGUUCAUAUCGACGGCGGUGUUUGGCACCUCGAUGUCGGCUCAUCACAUCCUGGGGCUGAAGUAGGUCCCAAGGGUAUGGCUGUUCGCCAUUUAAAGUGGUACGCGAGCUGGGUUUAGAACGUCGUGAGACAGUUCGGUCCCUAUCUGCCGUGGGCGCUGGAGAAUUGAGGGGGGCUGCUCCUAGUACGAGAGGACCGGAGUGGACGCAUCACUGGUGUUCGGGUUGUCAUGCCAAUGGCACUGCCCGGUAGCUAAAUGCGGAAGAGAUAAGUGCUGAAAGCAUCUAAGCACGAAACUUGCCCCGAGAUGAGUUCUCCCUGAGACUUUAAGUCUCCUGAAGGAACGUUGAAGACGACGACGUUGAUAGGCCGGGUGUGUAAGCGCAGCGAUGCGUUGAGCUAACCGGUACUAAUGAACCGUGAGGCUUAACCUUACAACGCCGAAG